rnacentral:rRNA from 1 species
ACUCAAUAGAUACCCCGGUAGUCCUGGCCCUAAACGUUGGGUACUAGAUAGUAGCCUUCACAUGGGGUUACUGUCGAAAGCAAAAAAAGUGCUAAGUACCCCGCCUGGGGAGUAUGGUCGCAAAGCUGAAACUCAAAGGAAUUGACGGGGGCUCACACAAGCGGUGGAGCAUGUGGCUUAAUUCGAGGCUACGCGAAGAACCUUAUCCUAGACUUGACAUGUGCGAAAGCGUAGGGAGGUAGAACCCGGAAACGGGAACGAACGGUAUCCAAUCCGGAACCCUAUACAGGUGCUGCAUGGCUGUCGUCAGCUCGUGUCGUGAGAUGUCGGGUUAAAGUCCCAUAACGAGCGAAACCCUUACCCUUAGUUGCUACUAUUAAGUUAGAGGACUCUAGGGGGACUGCCGGUGUCAAACCGGAGGAAGGCGGGGAUGACGUCAAGUCCUCAUGGCCUUUACGUCUAGGGCUGCGCACGUGCUACAAUGGCGUGAACAAAGGGGAAGCAAGAGCGCAAGCUGGAGCAAACUCCCAAAAAACCACGCCCAGUUCAGAUUGAGGGCUGCAAC